CCUACGGGGUGCAGCAGUGGGGGAUAUUGCACAAUGGGGGGAACCCUGAUGCAGCGACGCCGCGUGGGUGAAGAAGCGCCUCGGCGCGUAAAGCCCUGUCAGCAGGGAAGAAAAUGACGGUACCUGAAGAAGAAGCCCCGGCUCACUACGUGCCAGCAGCCGCGGUAAUACGUAGGGGGCAAGCGUUAUCCGGAUUUACUGGUGGUAAAGGGGGCGCAGACGGCGAUGCAAGCCAGGAGUGAAAGCCCGGGGGCCAACCCCGGGACUGCUCUUGGAACUGCGUGGCUGGAGUGCAGGAGGGGCAGGCGGAAUUCCUGGUGUAGCGGUGAAAUGCGUAGAGAUCAGGAGGAACACCGGUGGCGAAGGCGGCCUGCUGGACUGCAACUGACGUUGAGGCCCGAAAGCGUGGGGAGCAAACAGGAUUAGAUACCCGAGUAGUC
rnacentral:rRNA from 1 species